rnacentral:rRNA from 1 species
AGCAGCCGCGGUAAUUCCAGCUCCAAUAGCGUAUAUUAAAGUUGUUGCAGUUAAAAAGCUCGUAGUUGAAUUUCGGGAUUGACGUGAUGGUCAUGCCUUAAGGGGUAUGAACUGUUGCAGUUGAUUUCUCACCUUCUGGAAAAACUUGAUGUCCUUUAUUGGGUGUCUUGCGGAUCCAGGACCUUUACCUUGAAAAAAUUAGAGUGUUUAAAGCAGGCAUUUUUGCUCGAAUACAUUAGCAUGGAAUAAUAGAAUAGGACGGCAUGGUUCUAUUUUGUUGGUUUCUAGGAUCACCGUAAUGAUUAAUAGGGAUAGUUGGGGGCAUUAGUAUUCAAUUGUCAGAGGUGAAAUUCUUGGAUUUAUUGAAGACUAACUACUGCGAAAGCAUUUGCCAAGGAUGUUUUCAUUAAUCAAGAACGAAAGUUAGGGGAUCGAAGACGAUCAGAUACCGUCGUAGUCUUAACCAUAAACUAUGCCGACUAGGAAUCAGACGAUGUUAAUUUUUUAAUGACUCGUUUGG